GCCCCCCAGUGCGGACAAUCGUCGUCUGCUUCAUGGGACUUUUAGCUAACGUGGAGGCCGUUGCUUCUGUGUGGACAGGUCGGCUUACCGCAAAGACAAGACAGACAGAGCUGGCAAACGACAAUUUGUAAAAGAGAUGCAAAUGUCACCCGACUCCUUUGUUUGUCAACUUAUGUCUAGAGCAGCUUCAGGCCGGUGAAUCCCUGUGUGGCAGCUCGGAAAAAAUUCAACAAAAGAAAUUAAACAGUUUAAACAAACUCGCCACACCGGUGCGGAGGUCACCACCAACAACGCAAACAAAUGGCCCGGUGUGGCGACUCACGCGGGUAUUGUUUCAGCCGUUACGGUAAGCAGCAGAAUAAAACAACAGAGAGAGAGAGAGA